CUCUGUUUGAAGGUAUAAAGAGUAUAACCUGCUCACUGAUAAAAGUUUAAGAGCCGCAGUAUUUUGACUGUGCAAAGGUAGCAUAAUCGUUUGUUUUUUAAUUGGAAUCUUGUAUGAAUGGUUGGACAAGAGAAAAACUGUCUUUAUAAGAAAAAUUGAAUUUAACUUUUAGAUGAAAAGGUCUAAAUAAAUUAAAGGGACGAUAAGACCCUAUAAAGCUUAAUAUAAAAAGUUAGUUAAUUAAAUUUUAUUAAAAUAAAAAUGAAUUAAUUUAAUAUAUUUUGUUGGGGCGACAGAGGUAAAAUUAUUAUUAACUACUUAAAUAAGAUUCAAAUAUAAGUGUAAUUUUAAAAGAUCCUAGUUAAAGAUUUAAAGUUUAAGUUACUUUAGGGAUAACAGCGUUAUUUUUUUUGAGAGUACUUAUCGAGAAAAAAGUUUGCGACCUCGAUGUUGAAUUAAAUUAUCUUUAUAAUUGCAGAAGUUAUAAAAGAAGGUCUGUUCGACCUUUAAAUUUUUACAUGAUUUGAGUUCAGACCGGCGUGAG
rnacentral:rRNA from 1 species